UGGUAAUUAUGUAUCUCUUGUUGGUAACAGUUAUCAACUUAUCAUCAAAGCUAACUAAUGACAAUUUUCAUUUAAAAAUUAUGUAUGUUAUUGGAAAUGACUAAUGGUUAAUGCGAUUUUAGAUCACAAAUUUUAGCUGUUGAUGCUAGCUACUUAAUAGCAUUGUUAGGAUUGUUACCAGUCAUGACUUUGAGGUUUAUUGUCAGAAAAUCCCUUGGGAAGUCAUGGUCUGCCAAUGCAGUUGAGGCUGCAUGCUCUCACUUGUCACAAGUUAGUUUUACUGUUGAAAGAAGGGCUUUGAUGUUAGGUCACAUUAAACAUGUAAAUUAGUGGUUUUCCCAUUUCUGAUUAUGGAUCCCUUUUCUUAUAUAGUUAUACUGGAAUACUAAUAAAAUAUAUAUGUUUUAUGAUACUGAUUCAUAUAUUAUUUACAGUAAGGUUACAUUUUUAUCUUUUCUUGUAUUGAUUUUGUCUAACUUCAAUAACUUAACAGUACCAUACCAUGCGAAAUGUCCUCUAUAUGACCUUGACUGACUUCAAAAAGGUUGGGCACUCUAUUGGUUCUUACAUAUUUGUUGGAAUAUCACUUUCUUCCCACAAGUGUGUUAGUUUUGCAUCAAAGAUUGCAGGGGUUUAGGAUCUUGGCAUGUUAGGUCGUGGCCGUGGAGAAGAGAUUGGAACAAAUGUUGAAGAACUCAUGACAAGUGAACUUUUUGGGAAUGUGAAAGAUAUAUGUCUUGUAGGAAUAUUAUCAUGUGAUAGAUAUAUAUGUUUUGUAGAUAUAUUUCUUGUUUAAACUUAAAUUUUAUCUGUAUUAUUGAGUACUUAGAAAUAUUACUUAAAUGUAAUAUAUCUUUUAUAUACAAUGAUAUGAUUAAUGCUUUUAAAUGAUUGA